AUGCCUCGUGGUCUCCUGUCCUUCUUCCUGCACCUUGUUCGUAGCGGCGGUAGACGCCGACAGGGCCGUCGCCGUCGCCAUGGUGUUGGCGGACUUCGCCGCCAAUACCGCCACGCCCGUGAUCUACGCCGGUUCGGAGGCCGCCGGAACGGUUUCCGUCGCCGUGGACCACGUCUUGGACAUGGCGCUCGGGGUCGCGAUGGUGCUGGGCCUUCUAAUGCUCCGCCCGAACCGGCCAUGCCGGCGGCGGCGCCGCUCCCGGCCUGGAUUCUUGGCGGACCGACCGCUCCAAACCUGUACGCGGACGAGGUACUGGAGCCCGCGGACGACGCAGUGGACGUCGACGUUGAGCCGGAACUUGCGGCUCCUCCACCACCGCGUCCGUGCCCGGUGCAUGGUUGGGGGCCAUGGAUGGUCCUGCAGCCACCCCCGCCACAAGAUUACGAGGUCCAGGAGGAGGCCGAACCUGCGCCGCCCGCGGAGCCCGCGCAGCCGGACUCCCCGCGUCUUCGGUCUCCGACGCCGGCGCACGAGGCGGCCGGCGCUGGGGCUUCUUCGUCGAGCGCUAGCCUCGGGCUGCGCCUCCCCGCGCGGGCUGCUGCGCUCGGGGACGUCUUCGACAACUGGGCGAGCAGCUCCACUGGCCCAUCGGCGCCCCGCCGCUGGCACAUAGUGCCGCGGGCCGAGCUGCAACGCAGCCGCGCGGUGGUUCUCGGACUGGCCAACGGCCACUCCAACGGCGUCGCCAACGGCCACACCAACGGCGUCGCACCUGGGACGCAGCUUCCUGGUGGAUCUUCUUCAGAGGAGGAAGAUGCUGUGGUAGUGGUGCUGACGGCCACCGCUCGAGUUGGAUUGGGGACAUUUGUCGAUGGGAACGAAGUAUCCCGUCGCCGGACAGGGAUCUGGUGA
rnacentral:rRNA from 1 species